rnacentral:rRNA from 1 species
AUGAACGCUGGCGGCGUGCCUCAUACCUGCCAGUCGAGCGAACAGAUGAGGAGCUUGCUCCUCUGACGUUAGCGGCGGACGGGUGAGUAACACGUGGAUAACCUACCUAUAAGACUGGGAUAACUUCGGGAAACCGGAGCUAAUACCGGAUAAUAUAUUGAACCGCAUGGUUCAAUAGUGAAAGAUGGUUUUGCUGUCACUUAUAGAUGGAUCCGCGCCGCAUUAGCUAGUUGGUAAGGUAACGGCUUACCAAGGCAACGAUGCGUAGCCGACCUGAGAGGGUGAUCGGCCACACUGGAACUGAGACACGGUCCAGACUCCUACGGGAGGCAGCAGUAGGGAAUCUUCCGCAAUGGGCGAAAGCCUGACGGAGCAACGCCGCGUGAGUGAUGAAGGUCUUCGGAUCGUAAAACUCUGUUAUUAGGGAAGAACAAAUGUGUAAGUAACUAUGCACGUCUUGACGGUACCUAAUCAGAAAGCCACGGCUAACUACGUG